UAAUACUAGAACACGUAUUUUACCCACAUU
rnacentral:piRNA from 1 species